AGUUUUUUGUUUUUUAAUAAAAAAUGUUUUCUGCUCGGUGAUUUUUAACAGCCGCGGUAAUUUGACCGUGCAAAGGUAGCAUAAUCAUUUGCUUCAUAAUUGGGGGCUAGUAUGAAUGGGAUUACAAGAUUUUUGCUUUAUUAAAUAGAGGAGAAGAAUUUGCUUUCUUAGUGAAGAAGCUAAGAUAAUUUUAUGGGACAAGAAGACCCUUUUGAGCUUUAUUAAAUUUGUUUAAGAAAAGUAUGUUUAAUUUGGUUGGGGCGACCGAGGAAGUAUGAUCUUCCUUUUUUACUUUGAUCCAAGGAUUUUGAUCGAUGGAAUAAGUUACCAAAGGGAUAACAGCGUAAUUUUUUUUGUGAGUUCUUAUUUAAAAAAAAGAUUGCGACCUCGAUGUUGACUUAUAAUUUCCUUUUGGUGCAGCAGCUAAAAUGGUAGGUCUGUUCGACCUUUAAAAUUUU
rnacentral:rRNA from 1 species